CGCGUCGCCCCCUCCCCCAUCGGGAGCGGGGGCGGAGAAUGGCCUCCCGUGCGACACCGCACGGCUGGCCCAAAUGCUCUCCCCCGGCGAACGCAUGUCGCGGCAAGUGGUGGUUGAACUCUCAACUGGCGUGCUGCUGCGAUCGAGGCGUCGUGCGUCGGGAAACAGAACUAGACCCAGACGACCGCGCCUAC
rnacentral:misc_RNA from 1 species